UAUGGAAGGCAGCAGUGGGGAAUAUUGCACAAUGGGCGCAAGCCUGAUGCAGCCAUGCCGCGUGUAUGAAAAAGGCCUUCGGGUUGUAAAGUACUUUCAGUCGUGAGGAAGGUGUUAAGGUUAAUAACCUUAGCAAUUGACGUUAGCGACAGAAGAAGCACCGGCUAACUCCGUGCCAGCAGCCGCGGUAAUACGGAGGGUGCGAGCGUUAAUCGGAAUUACUGGGCGUAAAGGGCACGCAGGCGGUUAAUAAGUUGGAUGUGAAAUCCCCGGGCUUAACCUGGGAAUGGCAUUCAAGACUGGUUAGCUAGAGUCUUGUAGAGGGGGUAGAAUUCCAUGUGUAGCGGUGAAAUGCGUAGAGAUGUGGAGGAAUACCGGGUGGCGAAGGCGGCCCCUGGGACAAAGGCUGACGCUCAUGUGCGAAAGCGUGGGGAGCGAAACAGGAUUAGAUACC
rnacentral:rRNA from 1 species